rnacentral:rRNA from 1 species
CCUACGGGUGGCAGCAGUGAGGAAUAUUGGUCAAUGGGCGUAAGCCUGAACCAGCCAAGUCGCGUGAAGGAUGAAGGUUCUAUGGAUCGUAAACCUCUUUUAUAAGGGAAUAAAGUGUAGGACAUGUCCUGUUUUGUAUGUACCUUAUGAAUAAGGAUCGGCUAACUCCGUGCCAGUAGCCGCGGUAAUACGGAGGAUCCGAGCGUUAUCCGGAUUUAUUGGGUUUAAAGGGUGCGUAGGCGGCCUUUUAAGUCAGUGGUGAAAGUCUGUGGCGCAACCAUAGAAUUGCCGUUGAUACUGGGAGCCUUGAGUAUGGUAGAGGCAGGCGGAAUGCGUGGUGUAGCGGUGAAAUGCUUAGAUAUCACGAAGAACCCCGAUUGCGAAGGCAGCCUGCCAAGCCAUGACUGACGCUGAUGCACGAAAGCGUGGGGAUCAAACAGGAUUAGAUACCCUAGUAGUC